GACGAACGCUGGCGGCGUGCUUAACACAUGCAAGUCGAACGGAAAGGCCCUGCUUUUGUGGGGUGCUCGAGUGGCGAACGGGUGAGUAACACGUGAGUAACCUGCCCUUGACUUUGGGAUAACUUCAGGAAACUGGGGCUAAUACCGGAUAGGAGCUCCUGCUGCAUGGUGGGGGUUGGAAAGUUUCGGCGGUUGGGGAUGGACUCGCGGCUUAUCAGCUUGUUGGUGGGGUAGUGGCUUACCAAGGCUUUGACGGGUAGCCGGCCUGAGAGGGUGACCGGCCACAUUGGGACUGGGAUACGGCCCAGACUCCUACGGGAGGCAGCAGUGGGGAAUAUUGCACAAUGGGCGGAAGCCUGAUGCAGCAUCGCCGCGUGCGGGAUGACGGCCUUCGGGUUGUAAACCGCUUUCGCCUGUGACGAAGCGUGAGUGACGGUAAUGGGUAAAGAAGCACCGGCUAACUACGUG
rnacentral:rRNA from 1 species